UACGUAGGGGGCAAGCGUUGUCCGGAAUUAUUGGGCAUAAAGCGCGCGCAGGCGGUCAUUUAAGUCUGGUGUAUAAUCCUAGGGCUCAACCUUGGGUCGCACUGGAAACUGGAUGACUUGAGUGCAGAAGAGGAGAGUGGAAUUCCACGUGUAGCGGUGAAAUGCGUAGAGAUGUGGAGGAACACCAGUGGCGAAGGCGACUCUCUGGGCUGUAACUGACGCUGAGGCGCGAAAGCGUGGGGAGCAAACAGG
rnacentral:rRNA from 1 species